AAUACGUAGGGGGCCAGCGUUGUCCGGAAUCAUUGGGCGUAAAGCGCGCGUAGGCGGCCCGUUAAGUGGCUGGUGAAAUCCCGGGGCUCAACUCCGGGGCUGCCGGUCAGACUGGCGAGCUAGAGCACGGUAGGGGCAGAUGGAAUUCCCGGUGUAGCGGUGGAAUGCGUAGAGAUCGGGAAGAAUACCAGUGGCGAAGGCGUUCUGCUGGGCCGUUGCUGACGCUGAGGCGCGACAGCGUGGGGAGCAAACAGG
rnacentral:rRNA from 1 species